rnacentral:tRNA from 1 species
GCCCUGGGUGCACAAAUGGUUAAUGCAAUCAGCUCCUAACUGAAAGGUUGGAGGUUCGAUUCCACCUCGAGGUG